UACGGAGGGGGCUAGCGUUGUUCGGAAUUACUGGGCGUAAAGCGCACGUAGGCGGCUUUGCAAGUUAGAGGUGAAAGCCCAGGGCUCAACCCUGGAAUUGCCUUUAAAACUGCAUCGCUAGAAUUGUGGAGAGGUAAGUGGAAUUCCGAGUGUAGAGGUGAAAUUCGUAGACAUUCGGAAGAACACCAGUGGCGAAGGCGACUUACUGGACACAUAUUGACGCUGAGGUGCGAAAGCGUGGGGAGCAAACAGG
rnacentral:rRNA from 1 species